GGUACCUCCCACAUCGACUAUCCGAGGAAGUUCAUGAUCACCAAGUGGAGCACCAGGUUGCAGAGAACAAAAUCGGCAAAAGCUCGCUCUGGGGCAAGAUCCUUAAAUUCCUUGUUCUCCUUGUUGACUUGAAUACGGAGACAAACUGCAAGUACCGCAGUCCCGACACAGGAAAGAACUCCUGAGAGGAACGAGUUGAAGGGAAACGUUCCGACAAUCCCCACAUACACAACCUGAACUAGCGCAGUCGCGAUCGCAAAAACAACAUACAGAUCGAUGAUCUUGAGAUUCGUCGGCGUGGCGGCGUAGGCCGAUCGCAGGGAUCGGAUGAGCGCCUGAGCAUCGUUCGCCGACGAUUUCACCAUCCUCAAGCACUCCGAUCACAAUCUCGUCUCGCGACGCCGCAGCUGGGGAUUGAAC
rnacentral:misc_RNA from 1 species